UNUGACUUGAGUGCAGAAGGGGAGAGUGGAAUNCCAUGUGUAGCGGUGAAAUGCGUAGAUAUAUGGAGGAACACCAGUGGCGAAAGCGGCUCUUUGNUCUGUCACUGACGCUGAGGCUCGAAAGCGUGGGUAGCGAACAGGAUUAGAUACCCUGGUAGUNCACGCCGUAAACGAUGAGUGCUAGGUGUUAGGCCCUUUCCGGGGCUUAGUGCCGGAGCUAACGCAAUAAGCACUCCGCCUGGGGAGUACGACCGCAAGGUUGAAACUCAAAGGAAUUGACGGGGUCCCGCACAAGCGGUGGAGCAUGUGGUUUAAUUCGAAGCAACGCGAAGAACCUUACCAGGUCUUGACAUCCCGAUGCUAUUCUUAGAGAUAGGAAGUUACUUCGGUACAUCGGAGACAGGUGGUGCAUGGUUGUCGUCAGCUCGUGUCGUGAGAUGUUGGGUUAAGUNNNNNNACGAGCGCAACCCUUAUUGUUAGUUGCCAUCAUUAAGUUGGGCACUCUAGCGAGACUGCCGGUAAUAAACCGGAGGAAGGUGGGGAUGACGUCAAAUCAUCAUGCCCCUUAUGACCUGGGCUACACACGUGCUACAAUGGUCGGUACAACGAGUUGCGAGCCGGUGACGGCAAGCUAAUCUCUGAAAGCCGAUCUCAGUUCGGAUUGGAGGCUGCAACUCGCCUCCAUGAAGUCGGAAUCGCUAGUAAUCGCGGAUCAGCACGCCGCGGUGAAUACGUUCCCGGGCCUUG
rnacentral:rRNA from 1 species